GGCUUGUUCUAGAACACAGAAAGAACAGUGCUUAGUGUGGGUGCUGGGCCUGCCAUGCCCCAGUCACACCCUUCACUUAAGACCAGAGAAGACUCAGUCAGCCCUUUUGCUUGGUCCUUGUCCUUGGGAUUGAAUGCUCCACAAAACUCACUUGUCUGGUUUUCGCUUGUAUCAGCCACAAAGAUCUGAUUGUCAAACCACAGACCCAGCAUUUUCUCUGAUCUCACUUUAGCCCUCCCGACCACCUCAACCCUAUGAUGAACUAGGAUUCAGAGACACGAGGUAAUUUGCCCAAGAUAUGCCAGACAGCAUGGAAUGGGGCCAGGGCUGCCUUGUUACCGAGAACUCAAGAAGAGACCAGAGCCGGGUGGCUCCUACUCACCUGGGGGAUCAUCUUACUAAAGCUGGCCAUGAU